AACAACAUUUGUUCCAGAUCGUUUACUUUGUAUGGCCCGGGGAUGAAGAAAACUUGAUGCUUGCUUUUCGUCUAUUAACGCAGAACCUAUCAACACAAAACGAAAAGAGAGGUAGAAUAAGAACUACCGUGAUUUGUCUGUCUUACGAAAUCAAAUUCCGGGACAUUCCAGAAGACACGACGCUUAUGUCACGGCAGUCACGUGUGAAAACCUGGAAAUGGAAUUCAACGCACGAACUCGUUUAACGACAAAACUAAAAGACGGUUUUCAAUGGAUAGACCAAAAGGCGAAAGCUGGUUAUCAAGAAUUGUGAUUAGACCUGUCAUUAAUUGUAAUGUGUUUCCUUUCUUUUCGGAUGUUUCUUGGUAUCAUACGUUUUUUUUUUUUUUUUUUCAGAUCACAAAUUCAUGAUGAAAAAUUUGAGGAAAAAGUAUUUGGGGAAGUUGAAAACCGUUUCGUGCGAUUAUUUUUGAUUUUGUGGGUGUGGAGUUAAAUAUUGUAAUUACGGGUCAGUGCUAAUUGCAGUUCGCGACCACAUGAUGACAUGGCGGUUUUGCUCGCGGCCAAAUUUACAAAUAUUGAAAACAAGCCUUUAUUUCCGUUAACCCUUUCCAAAGUGAAAAAUAGCAGAUCUGAUGUUGUUUUCUAAUAGACCCUAAUAGGACGAAGGGUUUAAGGUUUUUUGAUCCUCGAGAACCCAGUCAGAAAGAGAUCAAACCUAGUCGGGGUAAAACAGUAGCAGUGUACAACCGUAUAUGAAUCGAAGCUGUUAUGACUUAGCCCGCGAGCAGUUCACUAAGUACGUCUGCAGUAAGUACACAUGGCUGCACGAGCCGGAAGCCUUGAGACCCUACGGUUUAUGAGGAAUCACUGACGCCCUUAUGUUUGUGACUGGCAAGGCACUUUGUAAAAUGUGUCUACAAACGGUACUGGCGAAAUAGCACGACUCCCUGAAAAAGUGCGAUGUAAAGGUUCUAUUCAAUAGCCUCGAGUAGCGCGGCGCAUAUCUCCGGUUUCCCUAGCAACUAAGCUGUUAUUUCUAUUGUAUACCUUACUGCUUUAGUAAGAAAAGAGAAUGUUCUCUCGUAUUGAGAACUGAUUCGUCUCCUCGUGGUUUAAUUAACUCUACGUAGUCAGUUUUAAAUGACACGUUCCGGACUAUUAACGCUAUCAUUGCGAUUGUGUCGCGCGGGAUGUUCGUUAUAUUGCCGAGUUGUACUUAACAGUCUUAAAUUUAGCCCAUCUGAUAGAGAGCCGAUUUGCUACGUAACUGGCCGAAUGCCAUUGUUGCUUUAACCGGUCUAUAGAAACAGAGAAAAGUAUGUCUUGUCUUUUCUAAUUGGAAUUGAACAUGUUUAAUCUGUUUUUCUGCAGUAAAGUAAAUUAAGUAACACCUGGUGUGUCGAGUUUCCAAAGCAUUUCUCUUAAUCUCCUAGGCUUACGUGAUGAUUACAUAACAGUCGAUAUGCCCUUUGAAACUAUUUUUUGUUCUUCAUAGAAAGGUGUCUUUUGUUCACUUCCUUCGCAUGGUUAAAAUAGGUGACAUUGGUAGUAACAACAAUAUCAUGCCAGACAAAUACUGAAGUAUAUUGCAAUAUCAGUCACCUUGGCCUACUAUAUGACGUGAAUGAUACUAAUCAACUUGGGAGACCGUGAACGUUAAAUUUCUAAUUCCUAAUUGAACAAAUGACCGUGCGAACUUUAGAGAACCUUUGCAACUGAAGUUCUGGAAACUCGAGUGAUUAGACAUAAAAGUUUUGUAAAGUAAUCAGUUGAAAGGAUUUCAUAAAAUCAUGACACCGCAAUCACCUUUCUUAUCUUGGUUUACUCUUAGAUAGAACAACAAAAUAUAUACGGUCAAUAUUUUUAAUUGCAGGUUGAACAAAGGCCAAGUCAUAGAAUUACUUCACAGCUUUUCCUAUUGUAGCUGUUCGGUCUGUGUAAACCGAUUUUCUGCUUUUGUCUUGGGUGAACCAGGCAGACGUUCUCAAAAGGUUGUAUCGGAUCUACCGGUGUCAUUUGUUAUUGGAACCAAAGUCCUGUGGAGCUCAAAGUGAAAGUUCAAUGUCUAAACUAUUAACGUAAAAUGUAAUCCAAAGUCUCCGCUUCAGUUCUUUGUGCUGACGAGGGGCCCGUUUCUCGAAAGCGCCGGAAACUUGUCGGACGGCAAAGCCAUUUUCAGUUUAAUUAAUCUGUAUCUAAAAACAGAAAGGUGUAAACGCCU